rnacentral:misc_RNA from 1 species
AACCUUAUGGACCUGCGGGCGUAUACCUGCGGAAGGAUCAUCAUCGAAUUCAUAUCCCCCCUCCUCUCCCGGAGGGGGACCCAUGAUAAACCCUUCUGUGCACCGUAAACUGUUCACUUUGGCAGGCUUUGGUGAUGAGCGUUAGCUCGCCUCCAACCUCGCGUUCCCUCCUCCCUAAGGGGUGUUACGCGUGGCGGCCUGCCAGAGUCCUCCCAUUAAAAACACGUUUUGAACACGUCU